GCUUCCGUGGAAUUACGGGUGCUCUUCCUGUUCGCAGGCUUGAGUUACCUUCCACGGGUGUAUUUUAAAACUCGUUUUGUAUUUUUGUCUGAUCUAAAUUUUUAAUAAAAGUUAAAACUUUCAACAACGGAUCUCUAGGUUCUCGCAUCGAUGAAGAACGCAGCGAAAUGCGAUAAGUAGUGUGAAUUGCAGAUUUCAGUGAAUCAUCGAAUCUUUGAACGCACAUUGCGCCCUUUGGUAUUCCGAAGGGCAUGCCUGUCUGAGCGUCAGUAAAUCAAUCAAACUUUGGUUUGGUAUUGGGAGAAGUGGCUUUGCCUCUCUCCUUUAAGCUAUUGGCGACGCUAUUUCAGCUUGUAAGACGUAGUAAGUAAUUUCUCGUUAAAGCAACUGUAUAGCUGUCUGCCAAAUGAACGAUUUAUUUAACAGCUUGACCUCAGAUCAGGUAGGGAUACCCCCUGAACUUAA
rnacentral:rRNA from 1 species